rnacentral:rRNA from 1 species
UCAGAUUGAACUCUGGCGGCAUGCCUUACACAUGCAAGUCGAACGGCAGCACGGGUGCUUGCACCUGGUGGCGAGUGGCGAACGGGUGAGUAAUACAUCGGAACAUGUCCUGUAGUGGGGGAUAGCCCGGCGAAAGCCGGAUUAAUACCGCAUACGAUCUACGGAUGAAAGCGGGGGACCUUCGGGCCUCGCGCUAUAGGGUUGGCCGAUGGCUGAUUAGCUAGUUGGUGGGGUAAAGGCCUACCAAGGCGACGAUCAGUAGCUGGUCUGAGAGGACGACCAGCCACACUGGGACUGAGACACGGCCCAGACUCCUACGGGAGGCAGCAAUCACUAGUGAAGUCCGCAGCA